rnacentral:rRNA from 1 species
GAUGAACGCUAGCUACAGGCUUAACACAUGCAAGUCGAGGGGAAACGAUAUUGGAAGCUUGCUUCCGAUAGGCGUCGACCGGCGCACGGGUGAGUAACGCGUAUCCAACCUGCCCAUCACUUGGGGAUAACCUUGCGAAAGUAAGACUAAUACCCAAUGACGUCUCUAGAAGACAUCUGAAGGAGAUUAAAGAUUUAUCGGUGAUGGAUGGGGAUGCGUCUGAUUAGCUUGUUGGCGGGGUAACGGCCCACCAAGGCGACGAUCAGUAGGGGUUCUGAGAGGAAGGUCCCCCACAUUGGAACUGAGACACGGUCCAAACUCCUACGGGAGGCAGCAGUGAGGAAUAUUGGUCAAUGGGCGAGAGCCUGAACCAGCCAAGUAGCGUGCAGGAUGACGGCCCUAUGGGUUGUAAACUGCUUUUAUAAGGGAAUAAAGUGGGAGUCGUGACUCUUUUGCAUGUACCUUAUGAAUAAGGACCGGCU